rnacentral:rRNA from 1 species
AUUGAACGCUGGCGGCAGGCCUAACACAUGCAAGUCGAACGAGUGGCGGACGGGUGAGUAAUGUCUGGGAAACUGCCUGAUGGAGGGGGAUAACUACUGGAAACGGUAGCUAAUACCGCAUACCCUCGGAUGUGCCCAGAUGGUAUUCGCUAGUAUGUGGGGUAAAGGCUCACGUCGGCGACGAUCCCUAGCUGGUCGUAGAGGAUGACCAGCCACACUGGAACGGAGACACGGGCCAGAUGACGACGGGGGGCAGCAGUGGGGAAUAUGGCACACUGGGCGCAAGCCUGAUGCAGCCAGGCCGCGUGUAUGAAAAAGGCCGUCGGGUUGUAAAGUAGUUGCGGCGGGGAGGGGUUACCCGCAGAAGAAGCACCGGCUAACUCCGUGCCAGCAGCCGCGGUAAUAC